CAGAACAAACUGGAACCUUUAACUAUUAAUUCAUGAAUGAUUCGUAAAUUUAAAUCUCAAAUUGCGUUUCCUUAAUGAUAUAAGAAAAUAAAAAAUUGAUACAAUCAGUUAUUGAAAAAAAUCCUUCGCAAUUUCAAUUAUAACAGCAAUUCCGGGUAUAUAUAAAUCCCAGAACAUAAAUUGGUACACAAUAUUAUGGGGUAGUUUAUCUGUAUACGAUGUACAUAAGUAAUUUUCAGGAAAUUCUCAUGUUUCCGUUUUAUUUUUACCAUUUUUUUUGAAUAGCAAUUCUGAUCGAGCAUGACAUGUACUGUCCAGAAUAGUAGCUAGAAUAAAGGAGAGACAUAUGUAUAUCAAGACAUAUGUAUAUAUAGAUAGUUAUAGUUUAUAUAUAGAUAGCUAUAGUUAGAUCUGUACAUGUUUAUUAAAUUAUUUAAUAAACAUCAACCUUCUUAUACACUUCAAUCAUAUUCUACAAACAUAUUCUACGAAUUUGACUAAAAAAAGGAGCCGAUGAAUCCGCGAAAAAGUUAAGUACUCCUAAGUUCUAUAUUGUUUCUGAUUAUUAUGUCUUUGUCUCAUGGAAUAGGCCGAAUCCCGAAUACUUUUAUGGUAUCCAACCGGAGUCGAAUACAGAAUAUCAUAAUAAUGGUAGAAAUUGAAUAAUUUUCGUUUGAUAUUCUAUAACAAAAUUCCAUAAGUCUAAGUAUAAUUUAUCAAUUCCUUUCCAUCUGUUGCAAAUUCUAAUUUGAGUAAAAAAAAUUUUCUUUAUUCCCUUGUUCAUACAUAUUUCACACAUUCCAUAUAUUAGGUAAAAUUUCAUGUGAUUCAGUAAACAGAAUAUAAAUUCCAUCAUUGCUAGGCUCUCGAUCCCUAUGAUUCGAUGAAGAAUGAGCAAAUAAUGGGUUUUUGUCUAUAAAUGGGAAAUUAAAAAAAUGCUUGGGGGUGGAAAUGAGGCAAUAUCUACAAUACCCGGAUUGAAUCAGAUACAAUUUGAAGGGU
rnacentral:lncRNA from 1 species